CAAUGAUGUUUUUGUAGGCGCUGCCGAAGGCUGCGAUCUUUUGAUCUUGAACUUGCAAACCAAAGGAUCGCAGCCUUCGGCAGCGCCUACAGGGGUA
rnacentral:miRNA from 1 species